GUGGGGAAUUUUGGACAAUGGGCGCAAGCCUGAUCCAGCAAUGCCGCGUGCAGGAAGAAGGCCUUCGGGUUGUAAACUGCUUUUGUACGGAACGAAACGGCUCUGGUUAAUACCCGGGGCUAAUGACGGUACCGUAAGAAUAAGCACCGGCUAACUACGUGCCAGCAGCCGCGGUAAUACGUAGGGUGCAAGCGUUAAUCGGAAUUACUGGGCGUAAAGCGUGCGCAGGCGGUUUUGUAAGACAGGCGUGAAAUCCCCGGGCUCAACCUGGGAAUGGCGCUUGUGACUGCAAAGCUGGAGUGCGGCAGAGGGGGAUGGAAUUCCGCGUGUAGCAGUGAAAUGCGUAGAUAUGCGGAGGAACACCGAUGGCGAAGGCAAUCCCCUGGGCCUGCACUGACGCUCAUGCACGAAAGCGUGGGGAGCAAACAGGAUUAGAUACCCCGGUAGUCC
rnacentral:rRNA from 1 species